rnacentral:rRNA from 1 species
CCUACGGGUGGCAGCAGUGAGGAAUAUUGGUCAAUGGGCUUACGCCUGAACCAGCCAAGUCGCGUGAGGGAAGACUGCCCUAUGGGUUGUAAACCUCUUUUGUCAAGGGACAAAAUCAGGCUCGAGAGCCUGACCGAGGGUACUUGAAGAAAAAGCAUCGGCUAACUCCGUGCCAGCAGCCGCGGUAAUACGGAGGAUGCGAGCGUUAUCCGGAUUUAUUGGGUUUAAGGGGUGCGUAGGCGGACUGUUAAGUCAGCGGUAAAAGCCCGGGGCUCAACCCCGGCGAGCCGUUGAGACUGGCUGUCUUGAGAUGUCGAGAGGUAUGCGGAAUGCGCAGUGUAGCGGUGAAAUGCUUAGAUAUUGCGCAGAACUCCGAUUGCGAAGGCAGCAUACCGGCGGCGAUCUGACGCUGAGGCACGAAAGCGUGGGUAUCGAACAGGAUUAGAUACCCGGGUAGUC